rnacentral:rRNA from 1 species
UACAGAGGUCUCAAGCGUUGUUCGGAUUCAUUGGGCGUAAAGGGUGCGUAGGCGGCGCGGUAAGUCAGAGGUGAAAUCCCGGAGCUCAACUCCGGAACUGCCUUUGAGACUGCAUCGCUUGAAUCCGGGAGAGGUGAGUGGAAUUCCGAGUGUAGAGGUGAAAUUCGUAGAUAUUCGGAAGAACACCAGUGGCGAAGGCGGCUCACUGGACCGGUAUUGACGCUGAUGUGCGAAAGCGUGGGGAGCAAACAGG